UACGUAGGGUGCAAGCGUUGUCCGGAAUUAUUGGGCGUAAAGAGCUCGUAGGCGGUCUGUUGCGUCCGCUGUGAAAACUCGGGGCUUAACCCCGAGCCUGCAGUGGAUACGGGCAGACUAGAGGUAGGUAGGGGAGAAUGGAAUUCCUGGUGUAGCGGUGGAAUGCGCAGAUAUCAGGAGGAACACCAAUGGCGAAGGCAGGUCUCUGGGCCAAUACUGACACUGAGGAACGAAAGCGUGGGGAGCGAACAGG
rnacentral:rRNA from 1 species